ensembl:lncRNA
GUUUUUAUGAAGACAGAAGCCUUCUCUGUGCUGUAUGAAGAUCUCCUGCCUGGUACUGACACUCAGAAACAGACCGUCGUCAUUAAUUAUCACUUUGGCAAUAACCUCAAAGUCUGGGAACUUUGCACAAUGACACCAGUUCAGUUUUGCCCUUUUUCUAAAUGUCAAAAACACACACACACACACACACACACACACACACACACACACACACACACACACACACACACACACACACACACACACACACACACACACACACACACACACAGAGAGAGACAAUAUAAUUAAGGAAUAGAAGGAAAUAGGACAAGACUAGACAAACAACCUUCUCAUCAAUCAAGUUUUUCAUUAUUGUUUUUAUCCUUACACACAGUAUAUUGUGUAUUCAUAGGACUAUAUAUGUCUAACCCAGAAGUGAGGGUGAGGGCAUCAUGCCUUACUGUCCGGCGUCUCCAAACAGGAAACUUGAGCGGAGAGAUAACCCACGUUUGCUAAUCUGGUUCGGACUGGUUAGACUCUGGCUCCAAUUAAUUCUAGUCGUUCAGAUGUUUUUGUGUUUGUGUAUUAUGUCCUCAUGUUUAAACAACCCUGGUGUAGGUUUUAAUCGAGCACAAUCGUUUGCUAGAUUGACCUGAUACCAGAAUUUGUACAUUUUUAAGCAGAAGACACUUUUUUAUUCAGGAAGCAGCAAUACAACACGCCCGAAUCCGAUACAAACCACUGAUUCAUCUGAGGGACGGUUUAAAAUGUCAGACCCAGGGAGGGGAACAGAGAAAUGUAAUCUACGUGACAUUUUACUUGGCAAACACACAAAUAACAAACGAUUAUCUGUUUACAUAAAAUCAAAUCCAUCAAAAUAUAAUGAUUGACAGUCCAGUCAACAACAACAGUAUUAUUUAUUAUAGUCUGUAUAUAUUUCUUCAACAUUGCACCACCUGUGAACAGUUAUCACCAGUUUGAGGUGCUAAUGGUACCGGUGGUGGUGGUGGUGCUGGUGGUGUUGGUGCUGCUGAUGGAGCGAUCAUCACCGGGACUGAAGACUAGUGACGUCUCACUUGGGGUAUUUGACAAACUGACACUCUGUCUUUUAGUGUCCAGCUCAGCUUGUCAAAUACACUAAGUGGGACGCCGCCUCCUGAAGGAGGUGGAGGAGCCUCAGCCUGCACCUGGAGGAGGUGGAGGAGCCUCAGCCUGCACCUGGAGGAGGUGGAGGAGCUUCAGCCUGCACCUGGAGGAGGUGGAGGAGGAGGUGGAGGAGGUUCAGCCUGCUCCUAAAGGUGGAGGGAAAAACUAGAUUAUAAGAAAUAAAUACAAAUAGACACUCAGCAUUACUACUGGGUAAUGUUUAGUCAUUUAGCAGGUAGGGGUUAGACAGUACAGAGACAAGUCAUUAAGGAGCAGGUAGGGGUUAGACAGUACAGAGACAGGUCAUUAAGGAGCAGGUAGGGGUUAGACAGUACAGAGACAGGUCAUUAAGGAGCAGGUAGGGGUUAGACAGUACAGUGACAGGUCAUUGAGGAGCAGGUAGGGGUUAGACAGUACAGGUCAGACUGUGGAUGUAGGGGAUCAAACCUUUGGCCUGGGAGUCAAACAGACUAACCAGUAGAAUAAUUCAGGCGGUGGUGGACGGCUCACCUGAGCGCUGGUUCCGUGGACCGUCGAAGGAUGAGCUGUGUUCUUCAGAGCGGUGGGUUCUUCAGAGCGGUGGGUUCUUCAGAGCGGUGGGUUCUUCAGAGCGGUGGGUUCUUCAGAGCGAUGGGUUCUUCUGAGCGGUUGGUUCUUCAGAGCGGUGGGUUCUUCUGAGCGGUGGGUUCUUCUGAGCGGUGGGUUCCUCCCUGCAGAGAGGACGGCGGCUGACGUCUGAUCGGCCGAUGAUGUCUGCGCCGAAACAGUCAUCAUCGGCCGAAACCGUUUAGAGAAUUAUAUGUUCAACGGCAAAGAGGAAGCUGAAAGGAGGAAGAUAGCAGGCAGGAAGUAUGUGGACAGGCAGUGACAACAGCUCUCCGGAGUUGUGAAAUGAUCUCUGUUGCCGUCAUGGGUCGUUGUCUCGUGGUCAGGGUGGUGCAGGAGAAAGACACUUUAGGUUGAAGACCAGAGGUUAGAGAAGUAGAACGGGUACUUGCAUUUGAG